rnacentral:tRNA from 1 species
GCCUGGGUGGCUCAGUCGGUUGAGCUUCCGACUUCGGCCCAGGUCAUGAUCUCGCGGUCCGUGGGUUCGAGCCCCGCAUCGGGCU